AUGAGGGGCCUCAUAGUUUGGCUGUGGCCUAAGGAGGCCGUGCCUGGGAGCUACUUCGGCCUGGUGCGGCGGCUGGUGGAUGCGUGUCCAUGGGUUGAAGUCAUCAAGCACUCCGCCUGUAUUGAAGGUGCCCGUCGGGCCCUUGCCCGCGCAAAGGUGCACUGGGGCAAGAUGGAUGCUGAGAAGCUUGUGACGGACGCGCCACCGCUGGGCAAGGAGUAUUGUACUCCCGAGAUGUAUUAUAAGACUGUUCUGAAGGGUGCCCGCACUAUUGCGGGUGAGUGCUACAAAGAUGUAAUAUUUGAGUAG
rnacentral:rRNA from 1 species